rnacentral:rRNA from 1 species
UACGUAGGGUGCGAGCGUUGUCCGGAAUUAUUGGGCGUAAAGGGCUCGUAGGCGGUUUGUCGCGUCGGGAGUGAAAACCUACAGCUUAACUGUGGGCUUGCUUUCGAUACGGGCAGACUAGAGGUAUGCAGGGGAGAACGGAAUUCCUGGUGUAGCGGUGAAAUGCGUAGAUAUCUGGAGGAACACCGGUGGCGAAGGCGGCAUCCUGGACCGAGAUUGACGCUGAUGCGCGAAAGCCAGGGGAGCAA